UACGUAGGGGGCAAGCGUUGUCCGGAUUUAUUGGGCGUAAAGAGCGUGUAGGCGGCCCGGUAAGUCCGCUGUGAAAGUCCAGGGCUCAACCCUGGGAUGCCGGUGGAUACUGUCGGGCUCGAGUCCGGAAGAGGCGAGUGGAAUUCCUGGUGUAGCGGUGAAAUGCGCAGAUAUCAGGAGGAACACCAAUGGCGAAGGCAGCUCGCUGGGACGUGACUGACGCUGAGACGCGAAAGCGUGGGGAGCAAACAGG
rnacentral:rRNA from 1 species